rnacentral:rRNA from 1 species
UUUAGGGUGGUUCUAGCAGAGGGGCUCACCUGUUCCCAUUCCGAACACAGAAGUUAAGCCCUCUAGCGCCGAUGGUACUGCGAAAGCGGGAGAGUAGGUCGCCGCCAGUUU